GUAACGGCGAGUGAAGCGGCAACAGCUCAAAUUUGAAAUCUGGCUUCGGCCCGAGUUGUAAUUUGUAGAGGAUGCUUUGGGCGCGGCUCCAACUGAGUUCCCUGGAACGGGACGCCACAGAGGGUGAGAGCCCCGUAUAGUUGGAUGCCUAGCCUGUGUAAAGCUCCUUCGACGAGUCGAGUAGUUUGGGAAUGCUGCUCUAAAUGGGAGGUAAAUUUCUUCUAAAGCUAAAUAUUGGCCAGAGACCGAUAGCGCACAAGUAGAGUGAUCGAAAGAUGAAAAGCACUUUGAAAAGAGGGUUAAAUAGCACGUGAAAUUGUUGAAAGGGAAGCGCUUGUGACCAGACUUGGGCCUGGCGGAUCAUCCGGUGUUCUCACCGGUGCACUCCGCCAGGCACAGGCCAGCAUCGGUUCUCGUGGGGGGAUAAAGGUCCCGGGAACGUAGCUCCUCCGGGAGUGUUAUAGCCCGGGGCGUAAUGCCCUCGCGGGGACUGAGGUUCGCGCAUCUGCAAGGAUGC
rnacentral:rRNA from 1 species